UCGAGAAUCUUCGGCAAUGCGCGCAAGCGUGACCGAGCGACGCCGCGUGUGGGAUGAAGGCCUUCGGGUUGUAAACCACUGUCAGUUGGGAGGAAAUCCGUAGGGGCUAUCCCCUGCGGUUGACCUAUCUUCAGAGGAAGGCCGGGCUAAGUUCGUGCCAGCAGCCGCGGUAAGACGAACCGGCCAAACGUUAUUCGGAAUCAUUGGGCUUAAAGGGUGCGCAGGCGGCACGGUCAGUUGGGUGUGAAAUCCCUCGGCUCAACCGAGGAACUGCGCCCAAUACUGCCGCGCUAGAGGGAGACAGAGGCGAGCGGAACUGAUGGUGGAGCGGUGAAAUGCGUUGAUAUCAUCAGGAACACCAGUGGCGAAAGCGGCUCGCUGGGUCUCUUCUGACGCUCAGGCACGAAAGCUAGGGUAGCGAACAGGAUUAGAUACCCCGGUAGUCC
rnacentral:rRNA from 1 species